rnacentral:rRNA from 1 species
UACGGAGGGGGCUAGCGUUGUUCGGAAUUACUGGGCGUAAAGCGCACGUAGGCGGCUUUGCAAGUUAGAGGUGAAACGCCCGGAGCUCAACUCCGGAAUUGCCUUUAAAACUGCAUCGCUAGAAUUGUGGAGAGGUAAGUGGAAUUCCGAGUGUAGAGGUGAAAUUCGUAGAUAUUCGGAAGAACACCAGUGGCGAAGGCGACUUACUGGACACAUAUUGACGCUGAGGUGCGAAAGCGUGGGGAGCAAACAGG